GAAUCUUGCGCAAUGGGCGAAAGCCUGACGCAGCGACGCCGCGUGGGGGAUGAAGGCCCUCGGGUUGUAAACCCCUUUCGGCAGGGACGAAGCGAUCGUGACGGUACCUGCAGAAGAAGCCUCGGCUAACUACGUGCCAGCAGCCGCGGUAACACGUGGGAGGCGAGCGUUGUCCGGAUUCAUUGGGCGUAAAGAGCGCGCAGGCGGUUUGGCAAGUCGGAUGUGAAAUCCCGAGGCUCAACCUCGGGACUGCAUCCGAUACUGCCCGACUAGAGGUAGGUAGGGGAGAUCGGAAUUCCUGGUGUAGCGGUGAAAUGCGCAGAUAUCAGGAGGAACACCGGUGGCGAAGGCGGAUCUCUGGGCCUUACCUGACGCUCAGGCGCGAAAGCUAGGGGAGCGAACAGG
rnacentral:rRNA from 1 species